rnacentral:rRNA from 1 species
UUUUAAUUUUUAUUUAAAUUAUUUAAAUUAACAUUAAUUUUUAUAAUUAUUUGAUUGGGGUGAUAUAAAAAUUUAUUUAACUUUUAUUUAAUUGAAUCAAUUAAUUUUUGAAUUUAAAUUUAUUUAACUAUAAUUAUAUUAUUAAAUAAAUUAAAU